AACGAAAAACUAGAAAAGUGGAGGAAAUUAAAUUAACAAAUGCUAUAACAAUAAAAAUUGAAACAAAAAACAUGUAAAAUAUCUUCCAAGCUAUUGACAGUACGCUGUAGAGUCAAGUGAAAAGUCCAGAAAAAUCACGAUUCCAUAUGUUCUAAAACACUUCCAUGUAACUAGCGCCGGACCGUAAGGACAUUAGACAAGGAACAUGGCAAACAUAAUACUGAUUGCUUGCCUUGCAGUAUUGGGCAUCAUAAUUUCUAUCGCGUUAUUCCUUGCUGGAGGCUAUCUUUGGUGGCGCCACAAACGUUCUCAGUUGCAGUUCAUCGAACCAAAUGAGGACGAGGACUCUAGUAGUUACAGCUUAA